UACGUAGGGGGCUAGCGUUGUCCGGAUUUAUUGGGCGUAAAGAGCGUGUAGGCGGCCAGGUAGGUCUGCUGUGAAAACUCGAGGCUCAACCUCGAGACGUCGGCGGAAACCAUCUGGCUAGAGUCCGGAAGAGGAGAGUGGAAUUCCUGGUGUAGCGGUGAAAUGCGCAGAUAUCAGGAGGAACACCGAGUGCGAAGGCAGCUCGCUGGGACGUGACUGACGCUGAGACGCGAAAGCGUGGGGAGCGAACAGG
rnacentral:rRNA from 1 species